UUCACUAACAGAUAGUGUUUUAAUUACAUUAUAUUGGUACAAUCGUACACACACAGGAAAAGGUUAAGCAAAAAAAUAUGACAUAUAGACAUGAAAAGGGAAAAAGGAGACCUGUAGGUCGAAGCAUGUUGCCGUUGUGGAGGAAGACGACGACAUGUCGGGCUUCCUCGAGUGGGAACAGCGACGAAGUCUGGCUUGCACGAUUGAGGAAGACAACGGCCCAAAUAUCCUCAUACAAAAGCUAAAUCCAUGCUGGUUGUGCGAGUCGAGAUCCACGACCAAGGAUCCCCUACACGGAUGCUGACAGCGACGACACCAUGGAGAUCAACGAUCUCGCCUCCUCCAUUGGAGCUGCUACUCGGGCCCUGCAAUACAUCCAUGAUCCAUCGCCGCUUACAAGCCGAGGACACGGAGGAGGCAUACGAGCCAAACCAGCCGUCAAAGACGGUCACCAUGUUGCCGCACUAGCGAGUCGAGCUGCGGGGAUGCCUGCAGUUGAGGACUAGCAGGCUAAAGGCACAAAUCAGCAGAGCAAACUGGUGGGAGAUUUAGAAUUACCAGAGGUAUAAGCCCGACAUGAUUUAGUGUAUAAUUUUGGAGUGAACGGAGAGAACAAGGAAAGGAGAAAGGGGAUCGGGGUAUCAGGCAAGAGCUACGUGUGAAGUUGUGAGUGAAAAAGAAGAAAACUCUUUUUUGUAAGUGUAGAAUGAGAGAGAAGAUGUGUCGUCCCUAUGGGCAUAUGCUUAGAUUGUUGGGCUAAAGCCCAACCAAUUAUACCAGCACAAAAGAAUCAAUUUUUACUUCCACUAAAAAAAG
rnacentral:lncRNA from 1 species